UACGGGGGGGGCAAGCGUUGUUCGGAAUUACUGGGCGUAAAGGGCGCGUAGGCGGCCAUCUAAGUCAGACGUGAAAUCCCUCGGCUCAACCGAGGAACUGCGUCUGAUACUGGAAGGCUUGAAUCCGGGAGAGGGAUGUGGAAUUCCAGGUGUAGCGGUGAAAUGCGUAGAUAUCGGGAGGAACACCUGUGGCGAAAGCGGCGCACUGGACCACAUCUGACGCUGAGGCGCGAAAGCUAGGGGAGCAAACAGG
rnacentral:rRNA from 1 species